rnacentral:rRNA from 1 species
CCUACGGGUGGCAGCAGUGGGGGAUAUUGCACAAUGGGGGGAACCCUGAUGCAGCGACGCCGCGUGGGUGAAGAAGCGCCUCGGCGCGUAAAGCCCUGUCAGCAGGGAAGAAAAUGACGGUAACUAAAGGAGAAGCCCUGGAUAACUACGGGCCAGCAGCCGCGGUAAUACGUAGGGGGCAAGCGUGAUACGGAUUUACUGGGUGUAGAGGGAGCGCAGACGGCGCUGCAAGCCAGGAGUGAAAGCACGGGGCCCAACCCCGGGACUGCGCGUGAAACUGCGUGGCUGGAGUGCAGGAGGGGCAGGCGGAAUUCCUGGUGUAGCGGUGAAAUGCGUAGAUAUCAGGAGGAACACCAGUGGCGAAGGCGGCCUGCUGGACUGCAACUGACGUUGAGGCCCGAAAGCGUGGGGAGCAAACAGGAUUAGAUACCCCAGUAGUC